AUUGAACGCUGGCGGCAUGCCUUACACAUGCAAGUCGAACGGUAACAGGUCUUCGGAUGCUGACGAGUGGCGAACGGGUGAGUAAUACGUCGGAACGUGCCCGAUCGUGGGGGAUAACGGAGCGAAAGCUUUGCUAAUACCGCAUACGAUCUACGGAUGAAAGCAGGGGACCGCAAGGCCUUGCGCGAACGGAGCGGCCGAUGGCAGAUUAGGUAGUUGGUGGGAUAAAAGCUUACCAAGCCGACGAUCUGUAGCUGGUCUGAGAGGACGACCAGCCACACUGGGACUGAGACACGGCCCAGACUCCUACGGGAGGCAGCAGUGGGGAGUUUUGGACAAUGGGCGCAAGCCUGAUCCAGCAAUGCCGCGUGCAGGAUGAAGGCCCUCGGGUUGUAAACUGCUUUUGUACGGAACGAAAAGGCUCUGGUUAAUACCUGGGGCUCAUGACGGUACCGUAAGAAUAAGCACCGGCUAACUACGUGCCAGCCGCCGCAGUAACAC
rnacentral:rRNA from 1 species